AUAGGUAGCUCCAGAAUUCCAGUCUGGGAUUCCAUUUUAAGACGCUAUACGUUUAACAAAUAAUUUUGGACAUCUACCACAUGUUAGGUACUGUCACAGACGUAAUAGAAUCAUUUGACUUUUAGAGCUGUAAGUGACAUUAUGUCACCCGGUUUGCCCUCUUCACUUUGUUGUUCAGGGAAAGGAACUCCCUUCAGUGUAAAAUGACUUGGUCAAGGUCACAGAGCUAGUCAUUACCAGAACACGUGCUUAAGGACCUCUCAUCUAAUUCUCUUUCCAUUGACUACCCUUUCACCUUUCUUAGAAACAACAAGAAUUAGUGGGACACGAUAAGAUUAGGAUUUAGCUUUCAGUCUAGAUAACAGUAAUAUUUGAAGAAACAAUUGUAGGAUUUUAACAAUUGGCAUAUACGUUGACUUUAUAUCGUCUUCUGUAAUGUAUAUUUUUAUUUAAUUAGAAUUUCUCCCUUCCUUGGGUUGAAAGAGGGUUCAGGCAAAACUGCAUUAUUCUUUGUGCUUCUCUAUUCUCUUUUCAAAAUUGUGUAAUUGAAACUUCAUGCUGCUCACCGAUGGCAUCAUUCAGAUUUCUCUGUCCAGUUGUGUGCCUUUUUUACAUAACCUUUAAAAUGAACUUGGUCUAAGUCCCAUUCUUUCAAGGUUCCGCUCUAGCACUAGGCUUAUUCCUUGUCUUUUCUCUUUAUUCUAAGUUAAAUAUAAAUGUCUUUGACUGGCCCACCCCACAGAAAAUGCUAAUUUCUCUAUUUCCCUCCAGUUUCCCUUCUGCAUUUAUUUUCUUCCUAAAUUUUUGUUGAAUGUGUAUUGAACUUUUGGACCUAAUGACUAGACAUUGAUCAGGUGAUAGAGAUACAAUGAUCCCUGAUUUCAUCAGUCUCAUUGUGGGAAGCCAAAAAAUGGAAAAUAAAUGACAAAAUAAUUUCGGAAACUAAAUAUGAUGAAAAAAUAUAAAAGGAUAGGGAGUUAGAAGGAGACUUGGGGAGGAACGGGGAGAUAAUUUUAGAUAGAGUAGUCAAGGAUGGCCUCUUUGAGGAGGUGACAUUUUUGCCAAAACCUGAAUGAUGUGAACCCUGCAAUUAUCUAGCAGAAGAAUAAUCUAGAUGGGGGAAAAGCAAGUGUAAACUUCUUUUAUUUUCUUUUUUUUAGCAUUUAUCACCUUCUGGUGUAUAUUUAUUUGUUUAUUUCUAUAUUACCUCUCAAGCUUUAAAAGAGACUGGGCCUAGAGAAAGAGAUUCAAAGUGUGAGGAGGAAUUUAAUGUGAAAGAGAUUCUCCAUUGCUGGUUUUGAAGAGGAAAGAGGCCACAUAGAAAGGAGUGGGAAUGGCCUCUAGGAGCCAAGAGUGGCCUCCAGCUACAACCAACAAGAAAACAGGGACCUUGGCCUACAGCUGCAAGGAGGCUCCGAGCUCCAGAUCAGAACACAGUCAGCUGAUACCUUAUUUCAACUUGUGAGGUCCUGGGCAGAGAACCCAGCUAUGCCGUGCCACCAGUGCUAACCUGCAGAACUGAGAAGGAAUGGUAUUACAAUGGCAAGGUUCCAAAGCUUCUCAACUUGAAGCCAAGAUUGAUCAUUCAAAGUUCCUCAAGAACACCAAGAUCAACAUGAAGAGAAGAGGGAUGAUGAAGAGGCAGCUGAAGGUGAAAAAAUUGUAAAAGGCUUGAUGCCACCAUUGUGGAAAACUGCAGUGUGUUACACAUUGAGAGAAACCUUCUGUCUGUCCGGAGCUGUCUGCUAAAUGGAUCAUCCGGAAGAUGUAUAACUGUGUGAGAAAAUAAAAAAUUUAAAAUAUUUUACUUUUUUUCAAACA